CGGGAAGGAAAGAAGAAUGAAGACUGAAGUGGAGAAAGUAGAAUUGCUGGUUCGUGUUUCUGAUAAAGAGUGUGUCUGUAAACUUGAACGCCCUAGUUGGUUUUCCCUCUUCGGGCCCCGAAGAAAUCUCUCUCCCUCCCUUCCCUCCUCGUUUACAAUCACACUGGCCAAUGGGGAUUUUUAUGUCCUGAUCAUUUCAGGUGACUAUCUAAUGGUGGUGGCGAUGGAGCAAUUGGGGGUUCAAACAUCAAGUCAAAGGAGAGAGAAGGGAUUGGAUUUGUGGUUAUGCGGCGGAAUUCGGGGGCUGGAGUUAAAAAUAACGGCCCUCGGCUGCGAGCCUGCAUGGGGAAUGUGGUAAGGAAUGGGCCUAGGUGGCUAGAACUAGGAGCCGAGGGUGGUUUCAGUUUGAAUUGGG
rnacentral:misc_RNA from 1 species